CUCGCUCUCUCUCUCUCUCACGCACACUCUUUCUGCCAGUCUCUCUAUCACUCUCUCUCUCUGGGAAAAACCCGAGCAGGAGGAAAGCAGCAGAAGGGGGAGGAGGAGGAGGACUCCUUCUUCUUCUUCUUCCGAUACAGCAGCGGCAAGAUAUUUAGAAAAAUUAAAAAAAGAAAAAAAAAAAACCUCGCACCUCACCCCCCGGUGCGGAGCAGCUGAGGGAGAAAAAAACCACACGGAUGUGCCUCCGAAAGCGCAGCGGAUACCGCCCUCCGGACCUUAUUAAUGCCAAGAUUUAUACAGGUCCGAUCCCAGCCGAGCGAGGGGGCGAGCUGGCCAUGGGUGGAGGUCGCAGCGAGACCUCGGCACUGAGUGGGACGGGAGGGGAGCGGGACAUGACCACUGCCCAGAAUUCCCAGCGGCCUAACGCCUGCUGCUUCUGUUGGUGCUGCUGUUGCAGCUGCUCGUGUCUCACCAUCAGGAAUGAAGAGGAGAGAUGUAGGCGGCAGAAGAGGAAGGGACUAUCACAGGGCACCAAGAUGGAAACCAUACCAAACUGUGAACCUUGCACCAAACCCUCAGUGGAAGAAAUUCGGCUCUGGUCUCAGUCCUUUGACAAGCUGAUGAGGAACCCGGCGGGCCGGAAUGUCUUCCGAGAGUUCCUGCGGACAGAGUACAGUGAAGAGAACAUGCUGUUCUGGUUGGCCUGUGAAGAUCUCAAACAGGAAAUGAACAAGAGUGCCGUCGAGGAGAAAGCCCGUUCCAUAUAUGAAGACUAUAUUUCCAUAUUGUCACCGAAAGAGGCCUUAUCCACACUUUUAAUUGGUCGACCGAUUCACCGUGAGUCCUGUUAAUCGUAGCAGUGGAGACGCGGCGAGAUUUAAAGGCAAAAUGGCGACGGGAGGAUACUGCACAGGCCGUUACACAUACAGAAAUACUAUUGUGAAGUCAACUGUGUCGUGGCUGGGGUAAAGUGCAGUAUGUGAACAGCAUCACUGAGUAGAGAAUGGGAUUUGAUUUAUUCUUUUUAACCCCCACACAGUUGCUCAGUGAAAUUUCCGUCGCAGAUGUGAAAGUCGUCUGGAUGCAGGUGAGCCUGGACGCCCGGGUUCGCGAGGUGAUCAACAGGAAGAUGCAAGACCCAACGCCUC